rnacentral:rRNA from 1 species
AUGAAGCUGGAUUCGCUAGUAAUCGCGCAUCAGCCACGGCGCGGUGAAUACGUUCCCGGGGCCUUGUACACACCGCCCGUCAAGCCAUGGAAGCCGGGGGUGCCUGAAGUGCGCUGCCGCAAGGAGCGCCCUAGGGUAAAACCGGUGACUGGGGCUAAGUCGUAACAAGGUAUC